AGUGAACGCUGGCGGUAGGCCUAACACAUGCAAGUCGAACGGCAGCACAGUAAGAGCUUGCUCUUACGGGUGGCGAGUGGCGGACGGGUGAGGAAUACAUCGGAAUCUACUUUUUCGUGGGGGAUACGGAGGGAAACUUACGCUAAUACCGCAUACGACCUACGGGUGAAAGCAGGGGAUCUUCGGACCUUGCGCGAUUGAAUGAGCCGAUGUCGGAUUAGCUAGUUGGCGGGGUAAAGGCCCACCAAGGCGACGAUCCGUAGCUGGUCUGAGAGGAUGAUCAGCCACACUGGAACUGAGACACGGUCCAGACUCCUACGGGAGGCAGCAGUGGGGAAUAUUGGACAAUGGGCGCAAGCCUGAUCCAGCCAUACCGCGUGGGUGAAGAAGGCCUUCGGGUUGUAAAGCCCUUUUGUUGGGAAAGAAAAGCAGCAGGUUAAUACCCCGCUGUUCUGACGGUACCCAAAGAAUAAGCACCGGCUAACUUCGUG
rnacentral:rRNA from 1 species